rnacentral:rRNA from 1 species
UAAGGAAUAUUGGUCAAUGGACGCAAGUCUGAACCAGCCAUGCCGCGUGAAGGAUUAAGGUCCUCUGGAUUGUAAACUUCUUUUAUCUGGGACGAAAAAAGGCGAUUCUUCGUCACUUGACGGUACCAGAUGAAUAAGCACCGGCUAACUCCGUGCCAGCAGCCGCGGUAAUACGGAGGGUGCAAGCGUUAUCCGGAUUCACUGGGUUUAAAGGGUGCGUAGGCGGGCAGGUAAGUCAGUGGUGAAAUCCUGGAGCUUAACUCCAGAACUGCCAUUGAUACUAUCUGUCUUGAAUAUUGUGGAGGUAAGCGGAAUAUGUCAUGUAGCGGUGAAAUGCUUAGAUAUGACAUAGAACACCUAUUGCGAAGGCAGCUUACUACGCAUAUAUUGACGCUGAGGCACGAAAGCGUGGGGAUCAAACAGGAUUAGAUACCCUGGUAGUCCACGCCCUAAACGAUGGAUACUCGACAUACGCGAUACACUGUGUGUGCCUGAGCG